UAAUACAGAUCAGAAUGUGUCCUCAUUAUGGCCUUUUAAUACAGAUCGGGCCUCGGGGCUAACAGAGUAAAGGUCAGAUCGGGCCUCGGGGCUAACAGAGUAAAGGUCAGAUCGGGCCUCGGGGCUAACAGAGUAAAGGUCAGAUCGGGCCUCGGGGCUAACAAAGUAAAGGUCAAUCCAGUGUGUCCUCAGCCGACCCUUCAAAUGUGUGUGUGUAUAACGUUUGCUAGUGUGUACAACUGGUUUGUGUAUAACCUGUGUGUGUGUCCCCAGGAGGACAUGUCAGUAGUGGACACCAGUAAAGGUGUAUAAUGUGUGUGUAUAAUAUUUGUGUGUGUGUGUCCCCAGGCAGACGUUGCGGUAUUAGUAGUGGACGCCAGCAGAGGGGAGUUUGAGGCGGACCCUCGAGGCGGGCGACCAGACACGGGAGCACGGCCUUCUGGUGCGAUCGCUGGGGCGUCACGCAGCUCGCUGUCGCCAUCAAUAAAGGUGGACCAGGUGAACUGGGAACAUGAACGAUUCAAAGCUUGGACAGUUCUUAAAACAGGCUGGCUUCAAGGAAUCUGAUGUGUUCUACGUCCCGACCAGCGGCCUAUCAGGAGAGAAACUCACCACUAAGAGUUCUGCUCCGGAGCUGACAUCCAGGUACUCCGGACCCUGUCUUCUGGAACAGAUCGAUUGUUUCAACCCCCCCAGAGGUCGAUA